GCACCUUAUAAAUACCGGCACUGUUGUUCUGUGCGCUCAGUUUAUAUUGAACGGUGCUAUAGAGAACAACUCAUAUAAAACUAACGAAAAAGCUGAUAAAGCGACGAAACACUAAACAUAGAUUUCAAAACAUUCGAGAAACAACAUACAUACAUAUUGCAGAAAGAAAAGAAAAUACAUACAAAUUUUAUAGAGACUUUGAUUUUGGUGUAACAUUUCACUUUUGGGUGGAAACUACAAAGCAAAAAAAUGUUGCGAGGUAGCGUUUUAUUGCUAACACUACUAGCCAUAUUCGGCUAUCUACAGGCGUUGCCAUACUAUGGAGAUUUACAACAAUAACAUGCACUACAGAAUAACAAUGUUUAACCAGAUAACCGGGCAAGUACACAGUACACUUUGGCAAAAACAUUUUUUUAAACUUAUUUAUUUUAUUUAAAAAAGUACUCGAUUUGUGGAGGCACCCUAAUGUACAUAUGUAUAUACAUACAUCCAUAUGUAUGAGGCUAUCAUGCGUGAAUAAUGUGUAUUUCUAAAAAUAUACUAUAUGUAGGUACACAUAUAUGUACAUAUGCAUAUACCUUCACUUACCUACACCACAUAAGUAUGUAUAAAUGUACAUCAUCAUUUGAUUUAUUACUUCUAGUAAUUUCUCAAUUAACGGUCAUGCAUGCAGCAGCCAUCAUUUCAAUUUAAAGUGAAAUUACGUUGCAAGGCAAUUGAAAUGAAAGCGCACAGUUGCAGCAGAUUUAAA